CUCAAACAAAGCAUAUCCUAAACUCUAACAAAGUCGUCCCAUCACUCCGCCUACCAGUAUAGCCGCGCGCCUCCCCUCCCGCCGAUCGUCCCUCGCGCGCCUCCCCUCCCGCCGAUCGUCCCUCUGCACUUCACACUGGUGAAGGUCGUUGCUGCGUCCGCUGGUCCUGGUUACUUCUUCUCUCUCCUCCUCCGCUUCCUCUCGUCCUCGUCGCUGCGUCCGGUGGUCCAUUCCUUCUGCCGUCAGGUGCUGCUCCUCGCCGGUGGUCCUUGUCAUCAAUCACGCCGCCGCCACUCCUCGCCGCCACGUCAGUCGCUGCAGCUGGGCCUUUCCCAAUUUUCACACUUGUCUUCCAUUUGGGGGCCCUUACAAGGCAUCAAUACCGCUGAAUCAUGCUACGAGUCCUGAAGCUGAUGUUUUACUUGCUUAUGAGAUGAAUGGGGAGCCUCUAAAGAGAGAUCAUGGUUAUCCGCUGCGAGUGGUUGUUCCUGGUGUUAUAGGUGCACGUUCUGUCAAAUGGUUGGAUUCCAUUAACAUAAUUGCAGAAGAAUGUCAGUUGUGUGAUUGAUUUAGGUAGUGCUGCCUCUUCUGCCUUCUCUCAAACAGGAACUGGGGGAACAUCAACAAAUGUUCCAUCAUCCCAAUCACCAUAAUGGAAGAAGGAAAUUGAAGCAAAGUUUGAAGAGAAGUAUAAUAGUUUGCAGAAACUUGUAGAAGACCAAAAUCAGUUGAUAGCUAAAAUGCGUGAUGAACUACAAACAGCGAAGAUGGGACAACAGUCUUCCUCAUUGAUGCCAUCAUCGUCUGAUAUUCCUCCAGCUCAUAGAUCCCUUGUUGAUUCACAUAUGAAUUAGCAUAAUGUCAUUUCUCACGUACUUAAAUAAUAUAUUUUAUGAUAUGAAUUUGAUACUAUUUGGAUCCAUUAUAUAUUUUGAGAUAUUUUAAGUU